GACGAACGCUGGCGGCGUGCCUAAUACAUGCAAGUCGAACGCAGUGGGGACGGGUGAGUAACACGUGGGUAACCUCCCAUCAGAGGGGAUAACAUUUGGAAACAGGUGCUAAACCGAUACUGAUGGAUGGACCCGCGGUGCAUUAGCUAGUUGGUGAGGUAACGGCGCACCAAGGCCACGAUGCAUAGCCGGCCUGAGAGGAUGAUCAGCCACACUGGGACUGAGACACGGGCCAGACUCCUACGGGAGGCAGCAGUAGGGAAUAUUCGGCAAUGGGCGAAAGUCUGACCGAGCAACGCCGCGUGAGUGAAGAAGGUUUUCGGAUUGUAAAACUCUGUUGGUAGAGAAGCGGUAUCUAAACAGAAAGCCACGGCUAACUACGUGCCAGCAGCCGCGGUAAUUC
rnacentral:rRNA from 1 species